UUGUGAGGAACUUCCGCGAAAAGCGACCCAAAACACAAGUGUUUAGAAUGAAUAUGCCAGAUUCACAGUACACGAUUUUGGGACAGUUUUUCGUUGGUUGGGAAAUCGGGAAUCACUUGGCGCUCGCGCUGUCGCGUGGUGUGAACUACUGAAAGACAGACACUCCACUCGCCGAGCCGUCGCAGACGCCCGACAUGGAAAGAGAUUUGCCAGCUCGAUGAAGAGAGGGAACAGAACGAAGCGGAUGAAGCCGGUCUGAGAGGAAGAUCCGUCAGCCAUAUCAGCCCAUACAUCUACCAACACAAAAAAAGCUCCUGAUGCUGAGAUCAGUGUACUAGGAACCUGUUUACACCUGGUUACUUCAUAGAAUUGUCAGUAACCAUGGGCUGCGAAGGAUACAUCAGUUGCGUCCUUGAAAUCCAAACCAUCACCUAAUCAGAAGCAGUGUUUGAAGUUGUGGAAUGGGAUGUUGUUGUAGCGCUUGUAGACCUCAUAGAGAAACUGCUGCAGGACGUCCAGCUCUAUGUUGAAGGUGGAGAUGAAGUCCAG